AUAGCUUUGACAAAUCGUUUGUUAAAGAGAUUUCUUUCACUAUUAAAGAAAUAGACAACGACCCAGUGUCUAAUUUAAUUAAUCUAGAAAAAGGAGUCGGCCAAAAUUUGAUCUGCAACCGUUGGUCGCAACAUGUGCCCAUUCAUUGGCUCAAGGAUGGCGUGGCACACUCCGACUUGAUCUA